CUACGGGUGGCUGCAGUGGGGAAUAUUGGACAAUGGGGAAAACCCUGACCCAGCAAUGCCGCGUGUGUGAAGAAGGCCUGCGGGUUGUAAAGCACUUUCGGUUGGGAGGACUGCUUCUAGCACUAAUAUUGUUGGAAGUUGACGUUACCUUCAGAAGAAGCACCGGCUAACUCCGUGCCAGCAGCCGCGGUAAUACGGAGGGUGCAAGCGUUAAACGGAAUUACUGGGCGUAAAGCGCGCGUAGGCGGCUAGAUCAGUCGGGUGUGAAAGCCCCGGGCUUAACCUGGGAACUGCAUCCGAUACUGUCUAGAUUGAGUACAGGAGAGGAGAGUGGAAUUCCACAUGUAGCGGUGAAAUGCGUAGAUAUGUGGAGGAACACCAAUGGCCAAUGCAUCUCCCUGGCCUGAUACUUACGCUGAGGUGCGAAAGCGUGGCGACAAAACAGGAUUAGAUACCCUAGUAGUC
rnacentral:rRNA from 1 species